UACAGAGGGUGCGAGCGUUAAUCGGAAUUACUGGGCGUAAAGGGUGCGUAGGUGGUUAGAUAAGUUAGGUGUGAAAGUCCCGGGCUUAACCUGGGGAUUGCGCCUGAUACUGUUUAACUAGAGUACUGUAGAGGAAAGUGGAAUUUCCGGUGUAGCGGUGAAAUGCGUAGAUAUCGGAAGGAACAUCAGUGGCGAAGGCGACUUUCUGGACAGAUACUGACACUGAGGCACGAAAGCAUGGGGAGCAAACAGG
rnacentral:rRNA from 1 species